rnacentral:lncRNA from 1 species
CGGGGUUAAAGAAAGGAGAGGAGGCGUGGGCUGCGCUGUGCUGUCGCUGGAGGCGCUCCCGGCGGCGCCUGCCUUGGUGCUUGCUAGUUGGUCGCCUCCAGUGAAAGGUCAUGGCAGGACCCAAGCGAACCUGGACAACUACCCUUAUCCCAGCCUCGGGACUGGAACAGCUGUGAGAGGAGACGAGACUCCCUGCAGAGGGCGGAGAUGACGUUAGCCUGACCAGACUCACGUACGCCCAAGUUCAAGGACCCGUCGUAACCUAAAAAUAUACUGGGUGAUCGUAGCUUCGAGCUUCCCCAACACUGAAGUUCCCUUUUUAAAAGCCUGAAGACUAAGUCGGAUGUCAGAACUACUGCAAAGCCCAGGGGCUGCUCUCCCUCUACUUUCACCUUUAUAUCUAAACCAAUGAGGCUGUCAGCUACGUAAUGCCCUCUCAUCGCUUCUCUUUAAGAUUGCCCUUCAGCUAGAGGCUAGGCAUUCAGGAGGUCCUGGGCUCAGAUUACAGAACCCGCAUGGUGGCUCACAUGCAUCUGGAGUUCCAGGGAAUCCCAUGCUCUCUUUGGCCUCUGAGAGCACACACAUGCUGACACAUGUGCACACAUACCCAUACAAAAGAUAAAAAUAUCUUUAAAAAUCAAAUUUCAGUUACAUUAAACUGGACAAUAACAAGGUUUGGAAGCCCAAUCCCAGCACUUAAAAAUAAAGGCAAGAGGAUUAGGAGUUCAAGGUCAGCCUUGCCUACACCAUCCUAAAACACAUGAGGUCUUGUCUGGGAGCAGGGAGGUGUGAUAUGGCAGAAAGUAAAACCAUAAACCUUUAAAUGUUUUUGUUUUAUAACAGUUACUUUUUCCUUUUCUCUUUCUUGCUUUUCAGACAAGUUUCUCUAUGUAGACUUGGCUCUCCUUAUAGACCAGGUUAGCCUCACAGAGAUCCACCUGCUUCUUCCUCUCAGGUGCAGGGAUUAAAGGUAUGUGACCAGCAAAAGACUUAUUUAAAUAAAUGAUUUUUCUUCUUUUUUCUUUCCUCAUUUUAUUUAUUUAUCAAACUCACAGUCCUCCCUCUUUUUUUUCACAGGUCCUGGGGUUACAGGUAGACACCAUUAGCUGAUUUUCAGGAGUGGUAUCAAGACAGG